rnacentral:lncRNA from 1 species
CAAAGAUGAAGACUCUUAUGAUGAUCCACUUUCACAUAAUGAAUAGCAUUGAGAUAAUGAAGAGCAUCCCAGAGGAAACACCAUGGGAGGGAAUACCCAGCCACAACCCAUCUUCGAACCUGUUGCGAUGCUGCAGAAAUCAGAGGAGCUGGCCAGUUAAUGCUGAGAAUUUCAUCAGGGGCUAACAGCAUGAAAGCUUUCAAAUUAUUAAUAUUUUGAUUCAUGGCACAUUUAUGGGUCUAGUCCAUCCUAAGAACAUUAUAAAGAGACAUUUCCUUGGAUCUGUCUGUGUUUCUGAAACUGAUUCAAUACCAGAUAGAAGUUCGCAGAGGUAAGCUGAAUGAUGGACUGGGAUUUUUAGGGUCUUCAAUGUGUAUAACUUCACAAAAAAUAUGCACAGAGUAUGGAAAAAGUAGGUUUGAUUGGAAAAAAUCUAUACGACGAGGAAACAGCCUGUCAAAAAAUCAUAUGCUCAUAAUAAAAAAAAACGAAAAUAUAUUGUCUUUGUUAUUUGGUAAAAUUGACUGAAAUAAAUAAUAUUUUGAUAGGAAUGGCUUGUGUUUAUCAGAAACUAAGAUUAAAAAUUAAUGUAAUGUUAG